GGCCGCGGUACCCUAACCGUGCAAAGGUAGCGUAAUCACUUGUCUAUUAAUUGUAGACCCGUAUGAAAGGCAAAAUGAGGGUCCAACUGUCUCUUAUAGUAAAUCAAUUAAACUGAUCUCCCAGUCCAAAAGCUGGGAUCCCCCCAUAAGACCAGAAGACCCUGUGAAGCUUAAACUAAACUAUUACACCCAAUAAUAGCUCCUUUCGGUUGGGGCGACCUUGGAAAAAAAAAGAACUUCCAAAUAUACGAUCAUUCACCACAUCCACUUCGGCCAACAAGCCUAACACGACCCAGCACAGCUGAUAACCGAACCAAGCUACUCCAGGGAUAACAGCGCUAUCUUCUUCAAGAGCCCAUAUCAAAAAGAAGGUUUACGACCUCGAUGUUGGAUCAGGACAUCCUAAUGGUGCAGCCGCUA
rnacentral:rRNA from 1 species